AAGACAACAGCUGGAUAAGUUUAAAAAGGAGGACGAAAACAGAGCUUUCAGUUCAAUAUCUCUGGAUCGAAGAGAAGUCAAUUUAUUCAGAGCUCAUUCAUCGGAUGAAUACGGCGUACGCAAGUUACAGACCUGGUGGUUGGGGACAAUGGUCUUCAUGGAGUCGAUGCAGUGUGAUAUGUGGUACAGGAAUUCGUAGAAGAACACGGAAUUGUGAUAAUCCUCCACCCGGAUCAAAAGGUAGAUGUGAAGGAACCAGCCAAAACACUGAAAAAUGCAGAAGAUGUGGGUUAGGUAACGAAGAUUGUGAGUCUGACGGACGGUGCAACAAUGUGUGCAGGCAGCCUGACCACAGGUAGCCCAAGCUGGCUAUCAGUUGGUACAUUAUAGAGAAUGUAUGGGAAUAAACAACACUCGAAACGUUUUAAUCUAAAGUUAAAUAAAACGCACUAAACGUUCU
rnacentral:misc_RNA from 1 species